UACGAAGGGUGCUAGCGUUGUUCGGAAUCACUGGGCGUAAAGCGCGCGUAGGCGGCCAAUCAAGUCAGGGGUGAAAUGCCACAGCUCAACUGUGGAACUGCCUUUGAAACUGAUUGGCUGGAAGAUGAGAGGGGAUAGCGGAAUUUCUGGUGUAGAGGUGAAAUUCGUAGAUACCAGAAGGAACACCGGUGGCGAAGGCGGCUAUCUGGCUCAUUCUCGACGCUCUGGCGCGAAAGCGUGGGGAUCAAACAGG
rnacentral:rRNA from 1 species